rnacentral:rRNA from 1 species
AGAGUUUGAUCCUGGCUCAGGAUGAAUGCUGGCGGCGUGCCUAACACAUGCAAGUCGAGCGGCAGCGCGUCUAGUUUACUAGAUGGCGGCGAGCGGCGGACGGCUGAGUAACGCGUGGGAACGUGCCCCAAAGUGAGGAAUAACUGCCCGAAAGGGUAGCUAAUACCGCAUAUGAUCUUCGGAUUAAAGGAUUUAUCCGC